UACGUAGGGUGCAAGCGUUGUCCGGAAUUAUUGGGCGUAAAGAGCUCGUAGGCGGUUUGUCGCGUCUGCUGUGAAAACUCGGGGCUUAACCCCGGGCCUGCAGUGGGUACGGGCAGACUAGAGUGCGGUAGGGGAGACUGGAAUUCCUGGUGUAGCGGUGAAAUGCGCAGAUAUCAGGAGGAACACCGGUGGCGAAGGCGGGUCUCUGGGCCGAAUAUGCUGAGGAGCGAAAGCGUGGGGAGCGAACAGG
rnacentral:rRNA from 1 species